UACAGAGGUCUCAAGCGUUGUCCGGAAUCAUUGGGCGUAAAGGGCGCGUAGGUGGCGGGACAAGCGUGCGGUGAAAGCCUGGGGCUCAACCCCGGGUCGGCCGUGCGAACUGUUUUGCUUGAGCACUGUAGAGGCAGGCGGAAUUCCGGGUGUAGCGGUGAAAUGCGUAGAGAUCGGGAGGAACACCCGUGGCGAAGGCGGCCUGCUGGGCCGAUCCUGACGCUGAGGCGCGAAGGCGUGGGGAGCGAACGGG
rnacentral:rRNA from 1 species